rnacentral:rRNA from 1 species
GGAGUUAGCCGGUGCUUCUUCUGUGAGUGAUGUCCUUCCUGCCGGUUAUUGACCCGCAGGCCUUCUUCCUCACUGAAAGUGCUUUACAACCCGAAGGCCUUCUUCACACACGCGGCAUGGCUGGAUCAGGGUUGCCCCCAUUGUCCAAUAUUCCCCACUGCUGCCUCCCGUAGGAGUCUGGGCCGUGUCUCAGUCCCAGUGUGGCUGAUCAUCCUCUCAGACCAGCUACGGAUCGUCGCCUUGGUGGGCCGUUACCUCACCAACCAGCUAAUCCGACAUAGGCUCAUCCGAUAGCGCGAGGCCCGAAGGUCCCCCGCUUUCCCCCGUAGGGCGUAUGCGGUAUUAGCCUGGGUUUCCCCAGGUUAUCCCCCACUACCGGGCAGAUUCCUAUGCAUUACUCACCCGUCCGCCGCUCGCCACCAGGGAGCAAGCUCCCCGUGCUGCCGCUCGACUUGCAUGUGUUAGGCCUGCCGCCAGCGUUCAAUCUGAGCAGANACAACUACUGA